rnacentral:tRNA from 1 species
GGUAGUGUGGCCGAGACGAAGGCGGUGAGUUGUAGCCUCACAGACUGGGGAAAAUGUAACCCACGCUACCAAGCC